ncrna:unclassified sequences L31-Firmicutes ribosomal protein leader
CUAUGAUCUGUAAUACGGUCAUGGCAAAGGAG